GAUGAACGCUAGCGGCAGGCUUAACACAUGCAAGUCGAGGGGUAUAGUUCUUCGGAACUAGAGACCGGCGCACGGGUGCGUAACGCGUAUGCAAUCUACCUUUUGCAGAGGGAUAGCCCCAGAGAAAUUUGGAUUAAUACCUCAUAGUAUAGCAGUUUCGCAUGAAACCACUAUUAAAGUCACAACAGCAAAAGAUGAGCAUGCGUCCCAUUAGCUAGUUGGUAAGGUAACGGCUUACCAAGGCUACGAUGGGUAGGGGUCCUGAGAGGGAGAUCCCCCACACUGGUACUGAGACACGGACCAGACUCCUACGGGAGGCAGCAGUGAGGAAUAUUGGACAAUGGGCGCAAGCCUGAUCCAGCCAUGCCGCGUGCAGGAUGACGGUCCUAUGGAUUGUAAACUGCUUUUGUACAGGAAGAAACACUCCCUCGUGAGGGAGCUUGACGGUACUGUAAGAAUAAGGAUCGGCUAACUCCGUGCCAGCAC
rnacentral:rRNA from 1 species